rnacentral:rRNA from 1 species
ACGAAGGGGGCUAGCGUUGCUCGGAAUCACUGGGCGUAAAGCGCACGUAGGCGGAUCUUUAAGUCAGGGGUGAAAUCCCAAGGCUCAACCUUGGAACUGCCUUUGAUACUGGCGAUCUUGAGUCCGGAAGAGGUGAGUGGAACUCCUAGUGUAGAGGUGGAAUUCGUAGAUAUUCGGAAGAACACCAGUGGCGAAGGCGACUCGCUGGACAAGUAUUGACGCUGAGGUGCGAAAGCGUGGGGAGCAAACAGGA